CAUUUUAGUCCAUUUUCUAGCCGGAAAUAUGUCAUUCUGCUUGCGUGCUUGGUUUCUUCCGACAGAUUUCCGUCAUCCAGCUGUCAAACAACUUUGUGCCCAUGCACUUGGCAGAUUGUGCUAUGCCCAGUGGUCUUCCACGUUUCCAUUCUUCAAUCCUAACCGCCUGGAAAGCAAAGUUGAGUGCAUGGAUUAAGAGGGGAACGGGAAAAAAAGUGAAGAUCAUUGAAGGAAAUCAGUAGCAAAAACAAACCUGAAACUAGGAGCAGCUCACAAUCUUGUAGAAAAUCCAAGUAUGAACCCUAAACUCUUUACAUAGAAUUCAAGGUAGUCCAUUACUUGUUCUGGCAAACAAACAUGCGCUUGGUUUGUGAUUCCACAUUUAGAAUUUGAGGAACUUAGUCCUGAUUAAGGUUGCGAGUCUUCCUUCCAGCGUGGCAGCGAAGACGAGCUGCAAGCUCUACGCCGGCUACCUUGAAUUCCUGCGACUCUCCAGUGACCAUCUUGCUUGAAACGGUGCCAGUCUCAGAGCUCUGGCAACCGCGGAGUUUGUAUUGAACGGCUUUUCUGGAGAUAUUAUUUGCAGUUCUUGGUUGAGUGAAUGAAUCUGUGCACUGCAACUUCCAUUGCAGGCACUCUAUCUCUAUAUCGGCUCCCUAUUUGAAACAUUGUGGUUUGGGUUUUUUAUAUGCAUAUAGAUACAAUGGAUUAUCUUAGUUUGUAAUGUUGUUUGUUUGGUUUUCUAAGGCCAAUCAUUUGAUUUUCUCUGUAAUCUCUCAGACUUGUGAACCAGGUGGAGAAAGCUAUUAGGAGAGGAGGCAGACAAGUCUUAAGGUAAAAGAGUGGUUUUUGAAAGAUUCUCAACAAAGGAUUCUGAAACUUCCGAAAUCUGGCUCUGAAUAUUAUGUCCAAGCCUCACUUCAGAAGAGAAGAGAACCUAUAAUGGACAGGAAGCUAAAUGCAUACAAAAAUGAAUUUUGAAAUCCUCAAAGGAUAUAUAACCUGAGGUACUGCUUUACUGGUUAGUGUGUUGGAAGCAAUAUGCUUGAACAGUUUUUCAAGUACAGACCACCAAUUCAUGUUGGUAUUGAGUGAUUGACUGAAGCAUAAGAAAACUUUUGGGUUGCCACCGAAUUUGGUUGACAACAUUUUUGUGAAGUACAAUUUGUUUAAGACUUUCCUUUUCCUCUUCGAACGGUCUUCUUAAGCAAAUAACUUCACUUGCUAUGAUCUUAACUGCAGGUACAGAAAAGGACCAGCUCACACAAAUCAGAACAUUUUGGUAAAGGUACCUAGGUGUUUUCAUUCAUUUUCAGUUGUUGCAUGACUUUUUGGCAGUCUUCCGUGUUCUUGUAUUUUUUGUGCAAAAACACUUGCAUCAAUUCUGCUACAUGUUAACAGCAGCAGCAGGUUAAGAUGUUGAUCUAGAAGAUUGCGCUGCUCAUUCUGUACCAACACAAACAGCAGCAGCAGAUUAAAAUGUUGAUCCAGAAGAUUGGACUGUUACAAAA